UUUAUAGUUUAUAAUAAUAGUUUAUAAACACUUGCAUAUUAAAUUUUUAGUUUCAAAAUGAGAUUGGUAAUAUUGGAUACAAGUAAAUCGGUUGGCGAAUGGGCUGCCAAAUAUGUAAUGAAACGGAUAAAUGAUUUCAAACCUGGUCCGGAAAGACAUUUUGUUUUGGGCUUACCAACAGGGAGCACUCCACUUGGCAUGUAUAAACAACUCAUUGAGUUCCAUAAGCAGGGCAAACUAUCGUUCCAGUAUGUGAAAACGUUUAAUAUGGAUGAAUAUGUGGGACUUCCCCGCAAUCACGAGGAAAGCUACCAUUACUACAUGUGGAACAAUUUCUUCAAGCACAUUGACAUUGAACCUGAAAAUGUUCACAUACUAGAUGGUAAUGCCUCUAAUCUAGUUGAAGAGUGUAAUCGUUUCGAGAGACAAAUAAAGGAAGCUGGCGGCGUUGAGCUCUUCAUUGGUGGGAUUGGACCCGAUGGCCACAUAGCCUUUAACGAGCCUGGUUCCUCGCUAGUUUCGCGAACGCGCGUGAAGACCUUGGCCCAAGAUACUCUGGAGGCGAAUGCACGUUUCUUUAACAAUGACAUCCAAAAAGUACCCAAGCAGGCACUUACUGUUGGCGUAGGAACCGUUCUGGAUGCGCAGGAAGUGCUUAUUCUGAUUACAGGCGCCCAAAAAUCGUUUGCUCUGUACAAGGCUAUCGAAGAGGGCGUGAAUCACAUGUGGACAGUAAGUGCUUUUCAGCAGCAUGCCAACACCUUGAUGAUAUGUGACGAGGAUGCCACUUUGGAGUUACGCGUCAAGACAGUCAAGUAUUUUAAGAUGGUUACAGAAAAUGAAAGGUGAAGAUAAAAUUGAGAAAAUUUGAAGAAUUGGCAUGUAUUCUAUUUUGAAAUAUUCAUAAAUAUAUUGGCAAAGUGAAUGCUUCAACUGUCAGUGAUUCUCGAAACCGAAUACAUUAUAAGAAUGAAGAAAUCCAGCAAUAGUUUUGUUUGUAUUCUAUUUUUAAAUGUUCAUAAAUAUAUUCGAAGUUCCAAAAAUGAUAUCGGACAAGCUCUUUAUAUAUUAUUGGCAAAGUGAAUGCUUCAACUGGCGAAACCGAAUACACUAUAUGAAUAAAGGAAUCCAGCAAUAGCUGUAAUCCAUUUAAUACAGUCUGAUGGAUGUUCACUCUAAGUUGAUCGAGCAGCAGACAGCCCAGUAAUGACUACUCUUAACUCUAGUGAAAGACAAGCGUCUUGAAGACAAUGCAUUUAGGCACAACAGGUAUACGUUGAUCAAAUAUCACAACCACAAAAGCGUUGCUUUUAACAUAAUUUCUCUUACCAUUUAUGUAACAUACAUUCUCUGUUAAAUAAAGUACGAACGUAUGAGUUUUUUAUGAAA